rnacentral:lncRNA from 1 species
UUUAUAGCAUUUGGUUAGGGGAUAGGAAUAGGCCUUUAUCCCCCCUUUAUACCCAAAUGCUAAUUUUUUAUCCGAGAAUAGUAGUUCUCGGUUAUCCCCACCAACACCUCCAUUUUCUAUAUAAAACUACCUAAAAUUGUUCUUAUCCCCGGAAACAAUCCAAUUUUCAUCCAAACACUAUUUUUCUUAUCCCCAUACUUGUACCUAUCCCUGUAAUAGCUAGUUCUUGCUUAUACCCGAACCAAACGGUAAAAGUUUUUGUACGAAAUUCUUACAACCACAUACUACAACCUAAUUUAUUUAACUAAAUGUUGACAUGUUGCUGAUACAUAACUGAUAUGAUAUUUUAAUUAUUGUCGUAUCAUUAAUUACAAUACCACUACAGCACUUCCACAUUAAUAUUUAAUUAACUAAAUUAGAUUGUGAAAUUUGAUUGAAAUAAAUUACAAAAUGCAAACUAAAAAUUACGGCAAAUUAAAGUUUGAGGACCAAAAUAUCAGCCUCAUUACAGUAUAAGGAACAGAAAAGUU